CCUGUAGGUUUUAUAAAGGGAGAGGUUGAGAAAGGGCUCCUAAGCCAUGAAAAGGGUUUGGACUUUGUCCUAAGGGACAUGGGAAACCACGUGUGUGUGUUUGUGUUACACGUAUGCCUGUGUGUGCAUAUUAGAACUCCCCAGAGAAACACAACAAAUAAGAUGUAUAUAUAAACAUAUAUGGAAACUUAAGGAAUCAGAUCAUACAAUUAUGGAGGUUGGAAAGUCUGAAGUCAGCACGAUGAGGUGUCAGGCUGCAGAUCCAGGAGAGAGAAGGUGCUGGGGUCCAAGCUCAAAGACCAUCUUCUCUCUGGCUCAGGGGACACCAGUCUUUUGUUCUGUUCAGACCUUCAACUGAUUUGAUGAGGCCCAUCCACAUUAUGGAGGAUGACCUGUGUUGAGGGCCACAACCAAGUCAAGAUGGCGCCUGGCACUUUGCCAGGAGGAGUGGUUUGUGAGCCAACACCACCGAGCCAUUAAGAUGAUGGAGAUUCCUUAUUGGCUGAUUGCUGUAUCUAGAUGAUGUUAAUUGAAACAAGCUGUGUA
rnacentral:lncRNA from 1 species